UGGAAGGACCAUCGGGGUUGGAGCUGUGGUACUUGCCAAUGGAGGAGGUGUGGCUGGAGUGGGAGCAUCCUGAAUUCAGAGUCUGCAGAGAGGGAAUGCUGGACACUCUGUAUGGAAUCUAGCCUUUGGUGAAUCACCGUGUUUGCGGUGGCAUAUCUGCCCUUAAUACUGUAAUUGCCUGAACUAAAGCAGCUAUGGGUUCUUCCGUGGACCCCUGCAUUAUCCAACACGACUAUACGGCUUCUCAGUCUGUGCUGACUUGAGUGUCGUGUAGACCGUUGAGACCUCCAUCCCCAAGUGACGCACAGGGGAACUGAAAAAAAACCCCGCUGUGCGACCAUUGGAGCCACAGGUGGGAGAUGUUACUUCCCGGAUCCACGGAAUUUCUGGAACACCGAUGCUGCUGCAGAAAGAACGAGGUUAAGUACCAGGCAAAUACAAUAUAACACAAGAAUCAGAGGAUCUGAAUAGUCUUACCUAUCCAGUGAUUGGAAAGCCCGGGAAACCUAGUGAAGGAGGUUCGAGACUCAGAUGAGAGGCGGUCCCCAGAACAACAGGGAACGGAGUCAAGCGUGGACACAGGAUAGCCCACCUAUAGAGCUGAAGACGUAGUUUGAGUUCCCAAAGUGCAAUGGCGUAGAAGUCCAACAAAGUACCAAGGGAUGAUCCGAAAACAGGUGAGGGACGGGGUCGAGGUUCAGCAAUGGGUAAACAGUUCCAAGCAAAGGUACAAAAGGGUAAUCCGAAAGAGUCCAGGUGAAAUAUCCAAGAUCAAGGUAAACCAACCAACAAAGUAUAUCAAACGUAUCGCCAAACAGAGUCGAAAGAAAGCUGAGAAGCGGUGAGUGCUCCGUGCAUUAAGCUUUAUAUACUGUGCGCUUCUGAGUCAUGUGACGUCCACCAUGGUCACGUGGGAAACGCCGCUCUGAAUCAAGUGAGCAAAUGAAUGAUCUAUGCGGAGGUGUUCCGCCGCCCCUUCUGCCGUAUGUUCUCCAUGGCAACUGCCAAUGCAGGAAGGGCUGCAACCGGGCACGUACAUUGUACCUGGUACAGAGCUUUCGGUCCUUUGGGGUAACCACAUCACGUGAGUCUCGAACCCUGGAGGGAGUAGUGUGGGAACCCGGGGAAGGUGUUGUGGAGAUGUUAGCAGUGUUCUGGUGUGCAGAGGAGCGUCUAACAGUGUGUAACAACUCACCUGCCGAAUCAACUGGCCCUGAAAAUGGAUGGUGCUAGAGCGUCAGGCCCAUACCCGGCCAGCACUGAGAGCUGCAGAGGCUAAGUCAGGCGAGUAGGAGGACUACUCCGGUACACACAGAAGCCCGGGGCGAGGGCCUGGGUGGAUCCGCCGCAGGUGCAGAUCUUGGUGGUAGUAGCAAAUAUUCAAACGAGAACUUUGAAGGAUGAAGUGGAGAAGGGUUCCAUGUGAACAGAAGUUGAACAUGGGUCAGUCAGUCCUAAGAGAUGGGCGAGUGCCAUUCGGAAGGGAUGGGCAAUGGCCUCCGUUGCCCUCAGCCGAUCGAAAGGGAGUCGGGUUCAGAUGCCCGAACCCAGAGUGGCGGCAUCCAGUGCGGUAACGCAAAUGAUCCCAGAGAAGCCGGCAGGAGCCGCAGGGAAUGUUCUUUUCUUUGUGAAGGGCAGGGCACCCUGGAAUGGGUUUACCCGAGAAAGGGACCCAAGCCUUGGAAAGCGUCGCAGUUCUGGCGGCAUCUGGUGAGCUCUCGCUGGUCCUUGAAAAUCUGAGUGAGAUGUAAAUCUCGCGCCAGGCCGUACCCAUAUCCGCAGCAGAUCUCCAAGGCGGACAACCUCUGGCAUGUCGGAACAAUGUAAGUAUGGGAAGUCGGCAAGUUAGAUCCGUAACUUCAGGAUAAGGAUUGGCUCUAAGGGCUGGGCUGGUCGGCUGGGGCACGAAGCAGGGCUGAGUGCGCACCAUGGCUGGAUGCGGCGUCUUCCCCCCCAGGGGGGCGGCUCUGCCUCUGGAUGCGAGCCGGGCCCUUCCUGUGGAUCACCCUAGCUGCAGUGUUCGACUCUCUCAUUCCCGCUCCUGGAGUUCAGGGCCGGCAUUCUGCCUCGGCCGACACCUAGCAGCUGACUUGGAACUGGUGCGGACCAGGGGAAUCUGACGGUUUAAUUAAAAAAAAGCAUUGCAAAGGUCCGUGGAGGGUGUUGACACAAUGUGAUUUCCGCCAAGUGCUCUGAAUGUCAAAGUGAAGAAAUUCAAUGAAGCGUGGGUAAACGGCUGAGGUAACUAUGACCUUUAAGGUAGCCAAAUGCCUCGUCAUCUAAUUAGUGAUGUGCAUGAAUGGAUGAAUGAGAUUCCCACUGUCCCUACCUACUAUCUAGCGAAACCACAGCCAAGGGAACAAGCUUGGCAGAAUUGUUGGAGAAAGAAGACCCGGUUGAGUUUGCCUCUAGUCUGGCACUGUGAAGAGACAAGAGAGGUAGGAUAAGUGGGAGGCCCUCGGGCCGCUGGUGGAAUACCACUACUCUUGUUUUUCCACUUUCCCGGUGAGGUGGGGGGCGAGCCCUGUGGGGCUCUCGCUUCUGGCUCCAAGCGCCCGUCACCUGCCGAGCACUACCCUCUCCGGGGACAGUGGCAGGUGGGGAGUUUGACUGGGGUGGUACACCUGUCAGAGGAUAAUGCAGGUGUCCUAAGGCGAACUCACAGAGGACAGAAACCUCCGGCGGAGCAGAAGGGCAAAAGCUAGCUUGAUCUCGAUUUUUCAGUAUGAAUACAGACCGUGAAAGCGGGGCUUCACGAUCCUGCUGACUUUUUGGGUUUCAAGCAGGAAGUGUCAGAAAAGUUACCACAGGGAUAACUGGCUUGUGGCGGACAAGCCUUCGUAGCAACGUCGCUUUUUGAUCCUUCGAUGUCGACUGUUCCUAUCAUUGUGAAACAGAAUUCACCAAGCGUCGGAUUGUUCACCCACUAAUAGGGAACGUGAGGUGGAUUUAGACCGUCGUACCCUACUGAUGAUGUGUUGUUGCAAUAGUAAUCCUGCUCAGUACGAGAGGAACUGCCGGUUCAGACAUUUGGUGUGCAUGCUUGGCUGAGGAGCCAAUGGGGAGAAGCUACCAUCUGUGGGAUUAUGACUGAACGCCUCUAAGUCAGAAAUCCCCCCACCCCAGACCGUGAUACCGCAGCGCUGUCGAGCAUCGGUUGGCUUAGAAUAGCCAGCCUUGGCGCCGGUGUGUAGAGCUGCUCGUCUGGGACUUGAGUGUGGACAGAAAUGGGCCACCUCUCUCACCCGUAAUGCACCGGAUGU
rnacentral:rRNA from 1 species